GCCAUGAAACUCCAAAUCUCAUUAAGCUGGGUGGUAAAAAUACCAUCUUAAGUGUUAAAGUGAUCAUAUAAUAGGAUUAAUUGUCUGGCAAUAAUGAUAGUUAGAGUUAAAGAGGAGUGAACCAUCCAACAUGGGAAGCAGUCCACACAGCUGACUCAUAGAAUGACAUCACUUUAAAUAACAUUCUGACCUCAUAAUCAACUCUUAAGGCAUUCUGGUCUGGCUGAAAAGCCUUGAGAGCAUUUCAGGCAUGGAAAGUCAAGACACUGUGGCAAAAAAUGUCCUACAUGAAGGACCUCAGUGGGUAAGACCCUAGUGGAAAGAAGUGAUCAUCAAAGAAGGAGGUUGGAAAUUUUAAAAUUAGACUCGAGAGAAAAACUAAUGACUGUGCACUGUGGAAUCACAGGGCCUGCUACGUUUUAACGUUGUUGGCUUUUGCUUCCGCGCUCACGAAGUCACCAGGCCCCUUUAGGAAAAGACCCUCCAGAGCCUCCAAUGCAGCCACACCUGCACUGGUAAAGAACUUAAGUACAACCAGCACCAGUGCAUGCUACUCGGCUUGAACAGCGCUUCCUGUUUGGCCAGAUUUCCUGCAGUUUUCAUUGUUAAGAAGAAAGUUAUUUCAGACACUACUCAACCCCCUUGCCUCUCCUUUACCUUCUCAGAGCCUUCAAUCCAUAUUAAAACACUUAACAUUUGCGGUGAUUUCCAAAAUUCUUAAGUGAAGCCUCAUGAAUGAACCCAUGGCAAUAUUUCUAAAAAUACCAAACACCCAGACAAGGAAGCAAAAGAUGUGUGGAACUGUGUAAGCACAGAAAGGAUGAACCGAGCGCUCCAUCUGCACCCAGAUGCUGCGGCACCCUGCAGACAGAACCUUUAUGAAACUGAUCGCCCACCACCUGCCGCAGGAAGUCAUUGACACAAGACGUAAAAGUCGCUUCACAGCACAAGACUGAUGAUGAAGUCCCAAAGCCAACCAGUUUGCAUUUCUGCCUGGAAGACCCAUAGAGACUUAGAUUUUCUUCCUCCAGGGUGAGGCUCUAACUUCCAACACCAAAUGUCCAUGUGCACAGGCUAAGUCCCAGUGACCCCAGACUGUCUUCUGUUAUUCUCCUCAUUCAUUUACCCACCAGGCUUCAAGAAUUCUGCCCCAGAAUGCUUCUGGAAUCUGUGGCAUUCUCAC